UACGAAGGGUGCAAACGUUGCUCGGAAUUAUUGGGCGUAAAGCGCACGUAGGCGGCUCCGCAAGUCGGAUGUGAAUCCCUCGGCUCAACCAAGGAAGUGCAUCCGAAACUGCAGAGCUUGAGUACCAAAGAGGAUCGCGGAAUUCCCGGUGUAGAGGUGAAAUUCGUAGAUAUCGGGAGGAACACCGGUGGCGAAGGCGGCGCUCUGGACCGAGACUGACGCUGAGGCGCGAAAGCGUGGGGAGCAAACAGG
rnacentral:rRNA from 1 species